rnacentral:rRNA from 1 species
GUCCAUGGCCAUACCACCCUGAAUGUACCUGACCUCAGAAGCUAAGCAGGGUCAGGACUGGUUGGUACUUGGAUGGGAGAAAGACUGUAUUUAAGGGGG